AGCGAACGUUAGCGGCGGGCCUAACACAUGCAAGUCGAACGCGAAAGGGAUUCGUCCCCGGUAGCGUGGCGUCCGGGUGAGUAACACGUAGGAAACCUUCCCUAGAGAGUGGGAUAACGUUCCGAAAGGGACGCUAAUACCGCAUAAGCCCACGACCGCUUCGGCGGAUGAGGGAAAAGAUGGCCUCUGUAUACCAGCUAUAACUUUGGGAGUGUCCUGCGGCGCAUCAGCUAGUUGGUAGGGUAAUGGCCUACCAAGGCGAAGACGCGUAGCUGGUCUGAGAGGAAGAUCAGCCACACUGGCACUGAAACACGGGCCAGACUCCUACGGGAGGCAGCAGUGGGGAAUAUUGGACAAUGGGCGCAAGCCUGAUCCAGCCACGCCGCGUGAGUGAUGAAGGCCUUCGGGUUGUAAAGCUCUGUGGGGAGAGGCGAAAACAGUCAUCGAGAAACGGAUGAUUCUUGACGGUAUCUCCUUAGCAAGCACCGGCUAACUCUGUGCCAGCCGCCGCAGUAAGAC
rnacentral:rRNA from 1 species